GGGCUUCCCUUCCGGCGGCCGGCAUCCUAUGUUCGGGCUGUCCCCUCGGGGACUAUGGCGAUAAACGCGCGCGGAAUAAGCGGCCCGGACCCGGGGGCGGUACCCGGCGGCUCCACCAACUUCCCCUCAUUGGGGGGCAUCGGGGCCGAAACAGGAUCGACGGACGUGUAAAGGCGUUAUGCUUUCGCUCGGUGAGGUACCACCGUUAUCGGUCCGAACAGUACAGUUGCCAAUGACAACCGUGCUCCGGUGGCGCUCGCCGCGUAAUGCGGCGCUAACCAUCGAAAACUAAGCCCUGGCGCUUAGCCGCGUCAGGCGGGGUUCGCAGGCACCUGGCAACAGAAGCCUGCACU
rnacentral:tmRNA from 1 species